rnacentral:pre_miRNA from 1 species
CUUGUACUCCCUCCGUACAAAAAUACUUGUCAUUGCAAUGGAUGUAUCUAGAUGUAUUUUAGUUCUAGACACAUCCAUUUUGAUGACAAGUAAUUCUGGACGGAGGGAGUACUUG